GAUGAACGCUGGCGGCGUGCCUAACGCAUGCAAGUCGAACGAACUCUUAAUCCGAUUUUAUUAUCGGAAGCUGUCAAACUAUUUCUCGGGCGAAGCGACUCCGCAGCCCGAAUGUAAUUCGAGCGAGGACCUAGCGAGCCGAGAAAUACGUUUGUCAGCUUCUAGAAGAGUUAGUGGCGGACGGGUGAGUAACACGUUAGUACCUGCCCUCUAGUGGGGGAUAACUGCCCGAAAGGGUAGCUAAUACCGCAUGUGAUCGCUUGCGAUCAAAGCAGCAAUGCGCUAGAGGAGGGGCUUGCGUCUGAUUAGCUUGUUGGCGGGGUAAAGGCCCACCAAGGCGAUGAUCAGUAGCUGGUUCGAGAGGAUGACCAGCCACACUGGGACUGAGAUACGGCCCAGACUCCUACGGGAGGCAGCAGUGAGGAAUCUUCCGCAAUGGGCGAAAGCCUGACGGAGCAACGCCGCGUGCAGGAUGACGG
rnacentral:rRNA from 1 species